UGGUUAUUAUAAAACUACAAAACCAGUGGAGUAUAGAAUGGGUAAUACAUUAAAUAACAAUGAUUAUAGUAGUUGUAGUGAAAGUAAAAAUUGUGUCAAAAAAAAUCGAGUGUUGAAGAAAUAUAUUUGUCCAUUACAUGCAUGUUACGAAUGUAAACGUUUGUACAUACAUAUUUUAGAUGAAAAAAAAAAAAAAACAUUUAAUAAUAAUGUGAACAAGAUAGACAAUAAUUUGUAUCGAUGCAUAAAAUGUUUAAAAUGUGUCCAUUAUUACUGUAUGCACAAUUCUUAUUUUGUUAUAUCUUAUAAAACAAGACUUAUGUUUUGUUUAAAUCACAUACGUUACUACAAAAAACAGCAUAUGAAAUUAUUGAAUGUUUCUCAGAGGAUAGGUUCAAAUGCUGUUGAUUGUGCGGGUAGAUAUAUAAAUGACAAUGAGUAUAACAUAUAUGAAAAAAAUGGGACUGACUGUUUGGAUAGUGAUAUAAGUAGCUAUAGUAAAGCUACGAUUAUAAAAAGUAUAAACGAAAAAUGUGUCACAUGCAUGGACAACUAUAAUGAGUGUAACAAUCACAUGAGAAACACUUUAUGUAGUAUUUCCAAAAUUAAUAACAAUAGAGGUUCUAACAAAAACGAUAUGCUUGUGACCUCUCAACCGGAAACUUUUUAUAAUAAAACAAAAAACCUCCUAAUGAAAAAACCUUUUUUAACAUAUGACAGAAACACAACAGUAACAAAUUCGAUAGAUUCGAAAAAUAAAAAAAAAAUUGAAAUGGUGAAUAAAAAUAGACCAUAUAAUACUUUAAAUGAUAUUAGUACCAGUUAUACCAACAUACUAAAAAAUAAAAACAAAAAGUAUUAUGACAAACAAUGUGACAAUGACAUAAAAGGAGAAAAUAUAGUGAACGACAUGAGCGAUAUUAACCACAUGAUUGACAUGAGCGACAUGAGCGACAUAAGCGACAUGAGCGACAUGAGCGACAUGAGCGACAUGAGCGACAUGAACAACAUGAAUGAAAUGAACGAAAUGAACAACAUGAAUGAAAUGAACGAAAUGAACAACAUGAACAACAUGAAC
rnacentral:lncRNA from 1 species